GACGAACGCUGGCGGCGUGCUUAACACAUGCAAGUCGAACGGAAAGGCCCUGCUUUUGUGGUGUUCUCGAGUGGCGAACGGGUGAGUAACACGUGAGUAACCUGCCCUUGACUUUGGGAUAACUUCAGGAAACUGGGGCUAAUACCGGAUAGGAGCUCCUGCGGCAUGGUGGGGGUUGGAAAGUUUCGGCGGUUGGGGAUGGACUCGCGGCUUAUCAGCUUGUUGGUGGGGUAGUGGCUUACCAAGGCUUUGACGGGUAGCCGGCCUGAGAGGGUGACCGGCCACAUUGGGACUGAGAUACGGCCCAGACUCCUACGGGAGGCAGCAGUGGGGAAUAUUGCACAAUGGGCGGAAGCCUGAUGCAGCAACGCCGCGUGCGGGAUGACGGCCUUCGGGUUGUAAACCGCUUUCGCCUGUGACGAAGCGUGAGUGACGGUAAUGGGUAAAGAAGCACCGGCUAACUACGUG
rnacentral:rRNA from 1 species